UGAACGCUGGCGGCAUGCCUAACACAUGCAAGUCGAACGGCAGCACAGUGUGUAGCAAUACACAUGGGUGGCGAGUGGCGGACGGGUGAGUAAUGCGUAGGAAUCUACCUUCAAGUGGGGGAUAGCCCGGAGAAAUCCGGAUUAAUACCGCAUGUUCUCUACGGAGAAAAGCGGGCCUCUGAUUCAAGCUCGCGCUUGGGGAUGAGCCUACGUCGGAUUAGCUAGUUGGUAGGGUAAAGGCCUACCAAGGCGACGAUCCGUAGCUGGUUUGAGAGGAUGAUCAGCCACACUGGGACUGAGACACGGCCCAGACUCCUACGGGAGGCAGCAGUGGGGAAUAUUGGACAAUGGGCGCAAGCCUGGAUCCAGCAAUGCCGCGUGUGUGAAGAAGGCCUGCGGGUUGUAAAGCACUUUUAUCGGGAAAGAAAGCUUAGGGCUAAUAUCUCUAAGCCUUGACGGUACCCGGUUGAAUAAGCACCGGCUA
rnacentral:rRNA from 1 species